rnacentral:rRNA from 1 species
ACGUAGGAGGCGAGCGUUAUCCGGAUUUACUGGGUGUAAAGCGCGUGCAGGCGGUCGUGUAAGUGGUGCGUGAAAGCUCCCGGCUCAACCGGGAGAGGACGUGCCAAACUGCAGGGCUAGAGGCAGGUAGAGGCAAGUGGAAUUCUGGGUGUAGUGGUGAAAUGCGUAGAGAUCCGGAGGAACCCCGGUGGCGAAGGCGACUUGCUGGGCCUGAACUGACGCUCAGACGCGAAAGCAUGGGGAGCGAACGG